UACGUAGGUGGCGAGCGUUGUCCGGAUUUACUGGGCGUAAAGAGCGCGCAGGCGGUCGUACAAGUCGCGUGUGAAAGCCCCCGGCUCAACUGGGGAGGGUCACGCGAUACUGUUCGACUCGAAGGCAGGAGAGGGAAGUGGAAUUCCCGGUGUAGUGGUGAAAUGCGUAGAUAUCGGGAGGAACACCAGUGGCGAAGGCGGCGACCUGGGCCAAUAUUGACGCUGAGGUGCGAAAGCGUGGGGAGCAAACAGG
rnacentral:rRNA from 1 species